GUGCAAAUGAAGAGAUCCGGGCUUUAACUGCGAUCUGGUAUGACGAACAGAUACAACAAGAUGUCUCACAGGUCCCGCCUCACGGACAGAUGUACACCAGAUGCAGGGCACGACGAUUCUGAUCCUGCUGACACGCGGAAGCCAGUAGACGAAAGCAGGUGGCGCUGCGGUUGAGGACUAAGGACACCGCCAUCUGGAUGGCCCGCAACACAUCUGCUUCUCCUGCGUCGCUGACCUGAAUACUUCAGAGCUAUUUAGCAAAAGAAGCGAUUUUCAAAUCACCAUAGGGACACGGGAUUCGCACCCCAGUGCCUCCCUCCCCCAGCCUAGGGGACACCUGGGCAGACGGUAUAUCACCUCAAACUGGGACCACAGGAGAGCUGUACAAGUACAAAGUCACCCAGGAAGGAUGCAGCUGACCAGUGAGAUGGCCUCCCCCCACCUUCCGGCAGAGAGGAGCUGUACUGUACGUGUGCCCCCGCCACACUGAACCCAGCAUAGAGCCC